rnacentral:rRNA from 1 species
AACGAACGCUGGCGGCAGGCCUAACACAUGCAAGUCGAACGAGAAGCCACCUUCGGGUGGUGGAUAGUGGCAGACGGGUGAGUAACGCGUGGGAACGUGCCUUUCGGUUCGGGAUAACCCAGGGAAACUUGGGCUAAUACCGGAUCCGCCCUCCGGGGGAAAGAUUCAUUGCCGAAAGAUCGGCCCGCGUCGGAUUAGCUAGUUGGUGGGGUAAAAGCCUACCAAGGCGACGAUCCGUAGCUGGUCUGAGAGGAUGACCAGCCACACUGGGACUGAGACACGGCCCAGACUCCUACGGGAGGCAGCAGUGGGGAAUAUUGGACAAUGGGCGCAAGCCUGAUCCAGCCAUGCCGCGUGGGUGAAGAAGGCCCUAGGGUUGUAAACCCCUUUCAGCGGGGAAGAUAAUGACGGUACCCGCAGAAGAAGCCCCGGCUAACUCCGUGCCAGCAGCCGCGGUAAAAC